GGAGAAGUGGCAGAGCGGUCGAAUGCGGCGGUCUUGAAAACCGUUGAGGGUUAACGCCUUCCGGGGGUUCGAAUCCCUCCUUCUCCGCCA
rnacentral:tRNA from 1 species